GAUGAACGCUGGCGGCGUGCCUAAUACAUGCCAGUAGAACGCUGAAGGAAGGAGCUUGCUCUUUCCGGAUGAGUUGCGAACGGGUGAGUAACGCGUAGGUAACCUGCCUGGUAGCGGGGGAUAACUAUUGGAAACGAUAGCUAAUACCGCAUAACAGUAGAUGUUGCAUGAUAUCUACUUAAAAGGUGCAAUUGCACCACUACCAGAUGGACCUGCGUUGUAUUAGCUAGUUGGUGAGGUAACGGCUCACCAAGGCGACGAUACAUAGCCGACCUGAGAGGGUGAUCGGCCACACUGGGACUGGGACACGGCCCAGACUCCUACGGGAGGCAGCAGUAGGGAAUCUUCGGCAAUGGACGGAAGUCUGACCGAGCAACGCCGCGUGAGUGAAGAAGGGUUUCGGAUCGUAAAGCUCUGUUGUAAGAGAAGAACGAGUGUGAGAGUGGAAAGUUCACACUGUGACGGUAUCUUACCAGAAAGGGACGGCUAACUACGUG
rnacentral:rRNA from 1 species